rnacentral:tmRNA from 1 species
GGGGAUGAACGGUUUCGACAGGUUGUACGUUUAAAAUAGGCAAGCCGAGAAUGAUAAUAGCUCGUAAACUUUUUAUCAAAUGUUAUAAGUGCAAACUUCAUAACUAAAGCAAAGACCGCGAUUGCGCAAGCUUUUGCUCCGUCUUUUGCUCUUGCUCGAGCCUAAAUCCGCCUUCGGCGGAUUGCUUGAGCCAUCGGACUAUCGAUUCCUAAUAGAUAGUAUCCGGUGUCAAAUAUUAGGAUAGAAAAUAUAAUUUUGUUUAAGUUAUAUUUUUGAAACUAAUUUAAACAUAGAUUAAAAAGAUUUUGCCUGUUCACUACUUUUUAUUCGAUCCCCGCCUUGGCGGGGAACAAAACAGACUACGCUUGUAGAUUAUUUUAGACAAACAAUUUUGGACGCGAGUUCGACUCUCGCCAUCUCCACCA